UUUUUUUUUUUUUGCAUUUUUUCCUUCAUAGGAAAAUUUCAAAUUGUUGUAUUUAGUUUUUUCACUCCACUGUCCCAUAUUCCCCUCAGUCCCCUCCAUUCCAGCGUUCAUCUUCUCUCUGCCUCUAAAAUCAUUCUCAUUAAGGUAAGGAAUACCUGAAAGACCAGUAAAAACAGCACCAGCAUCAAUUAGCCAAAGAAAAAGAACAACAGGGUCAGAGUAGAUGGACCUGCAUGUUACCUGAGCCCUGGAAUUUUUCUAAAUGCUCUUAGACUUUGGGGGUCACCUCAUUUCUGGGUUUGUACAGUGACAAUAAGAAACACACCUACCUUGCUGGACUGUUUCAAGGAUUAUAAUUAGCCUGUGCAAAGAGUCUGGCAGCUAUCAGGUGCCAGAGGAUGUCAGAAAGGCCCCUAAAUGCUUACUGGAAAGACUCAUAUGAGUGCCUGAAGCCCAGUAAGCUGAGGCACAUUGAUAAAACACAGUCAGCAAAGGACGAAGUUCUGAGAGGGAAAAAAAAAAAAAAGAAGGCCUGUCGUAUUUUCUGGGAGGCCCUUCAGUUCCAACCUUAUCUUUGGAAAGCAGCUUGCUCAAGACCAUGCCUGGUUAACAUGACUUCCCUUUCAUUUAAGCUUCAUCCUCUCUUAGGCCCAACGGCCAGAACAGUAAUCAGGCAGAAACUCUGGAACACAUGCAAGUUUCCGUCCCCGCCCUACUUCACCAUCACCUGCUUCUCUUUGUUCUUUAUUUUAAUUUUGUACAGUGGGAUAUUUUUUUAAUUUUUAUUAUAGUUGAUUUACAAUAUUUUGUCAAUUCCUGCUGUACAGCAAAGUGACCCAGUUGUGUGUGUGUGUGUGUAUAAAAUGUACAUAAAUAUACACAUUCUUUUUUUCACAUUAUCCUCCAUCAAGUUCCAUCACAAGUGAUCAGAUAUAGUGCCUGGGGCUAUACAGCAGAAUCUCAUUGUUUAUCGCUUCCAAAGGCAACAGUUUGCAUCUAUUAACCCCAAACUCCCAGUACCUCCCAGCCCCUCCCCUUCCCUCUUGGCAACCGCAAGUCUGUUCUCCAAGUCCAUGAUUUUGUUUCUUGUCUGUGGAUAGGGUCACUUGUACCAUAUAUUAGAUUCCAGAUAUAAGCGAAUCAUAUAGUAUUUGUCUUUCUCCUUCUACUGUAUUUUAUUAUGAGUGGAUUUAGGGAAACAGGUUUGGGCCCAAAUCCUUUCUUGGCAAGACCUUCUUGGUAAACACAUUAAAACUCUUCUCCACCAUAACCAGAUGACCAAGGUUAAUAUUGUCCAGGAUAAAACAUAUCCAUAAUCUGAUCUGAUAGGAUAAGAAGGGCACUUCCCCGCUGGAGUAUUUAGCCCUAGAAGCCAUAACCCCUGUCUAAUCAUGAGAAAACAUCAGGCAAACCUGAAGCGAGGAACAUUCUACGAAAUAUCUGAACAGUACUCUUCAAAAAUAUACAGGAAUAUAGACUUGUGGCUGCCUGAUGGGAGAGGGAGGGAGUGGGACGGAUCGGGAGCUUGGGCUUAUCAGACACAACUUAGAAUAGAUUUACAAGGAGAUCCUGCUGAAUAGCAUUGAGAACUAUGUCUAGAUACUCAUGUUGCAACAGAACAAAGGGUGGGGGAAAAAAUGUAAUGUAUACAUGUAAGGAUAACUUGAUCCCCUUGCUGUACAGUGGGAAAAUAAAAUAAAUUAAUUUAAAAAAAUACAUAUAUAUACAGGAGUCUAAGAAGUCUAAGAAAAAAAAUAAAUCUAAAAAGGCUAAAUGGCAUAAGGGACCAUGGAUUUAACCUUGAAGCAGAAAAACUCUGUGAAAAAGUCUGGAGAUUAAUAAUAUUGUGCCAGAGUAAAUUUUGUGGUUUGGAUUAUUGUACUGUGAUUAUGUUUGAUGUCAACGUUAAAAGAAACUGAAUGAAAGGUAAUAAAGAACCCUCUUCUGUCUUUGCAAUAGAGAUAAAUCUAAAAUUUCUAUUCUAAAUCUAACAUUAUUCAAAACAGAAAAUUUAAAAAUCUCUCCUGAUUCCUAGCAUUCAUAAGCUAUAACAAUUUCAUUUAUUAUUUAAAUAGAAUGCCUUCAUUUUUACAACUAAUUGUACUUAUAUUAAGGUUUCAAAUUUUUCCCCAAACUACUCCCCCAAAUUUAUCACUUUUUUAGCUCUUUAAUAACCUAGAUUUCUCAUCUGUUUAUGAUUUAUAAAAUACCUACAUACGUUUCCUCUCGCUUAGUUUUUACAACUUCUUGAUAUGGAAGAGAAUCCCCACGGCCACGUUAAAGAUGAAAAGAAUGGUGACAAAGGCAGUUUAAGAGAUUCACUUUAUGGUACAUGAGUUAGAGAGAGUUUUCUCAAGAAUUUGGAUUGGUACAAUUUAACAACAUUUUAAAAAGUAUCUCAUGAGCAAGGGAUCUGAAUAGACACUUCUUCAAGUAAGACACACAAAUGGUCAAAGCACAUGAAAAGAUAUGCAACAUCAUUCAUAAUCAGGGAAAUGUAAAUCAAAACCACAAGAGCAUACCAAUUCACGCCCACCAGAAUGAACCACUAGGUCAAUAAGUCAGAUAACAGCAAGUGUUGAUGAGAACGAGGAGAAAGAAAUCAGAAUCUUCAUACACUUCUGGGAACAUAAAAUGGAACAGCCACUUGGAAAACAGCCUGGCAGUUCCUCAAAUGAUUAGUCAUAGAGCUACUAUAUGACCUAGAAAUUCCAUUCCUCCUUCAUACAUACCUAAAGAAAUAAAGUCAUAUAUCUACAACAGAGACUUGUACAUGAAUGUUCAUAGCAGUAUUACUCAUAAUAACCAAAAAUAGGUCAAAACAUUUUGAAAGUAUAAGUAGCAAGGAGUGGGUUCCCAUCAUGGCUUGACAGUAACAAAUCCAACUAGUAUGCGGGUUCAGCCUCUCACAGUGAGUUAAGGAUCUGGCACUGCUAUUGAGCUGUGGUAUAAGGUCGCAGACAUGUCUCAGAUCCCAAGUUGCUGUGGCUGUGGCUCCAAUUCAGCCCCUAGCCUGGAAACUUCCAUAUGCCA
rnacentral:lncRNA from 1 species